rnacentral:rRNA from 1 species
UAGGGAAUCUUCCGCAAUGGGCGAAAGCUUGACGGAGCAACGCCGCGUGAGUGAUGAAGGUCUUCGGAUCGUAAAACUCUGUUAUUAGGGAAGAACAAAUGUGUAAGUAACUAUGCACGUCUUGACGGUACCUAAUCAGAAAGCCACGUCUAACUACGUGCCAGCAGCCGCGGUAAUACGUAGGUGGCAAGCGUUAUCCGGAAUUAUUGGGCGUAAAGCGCGCGUAGGCGGUUUUUUAAGUCUGAUGUGAAAGCCCACGGCUCAACCGUGGAGGGUCAUUGGAAACUGGAGAGCUUGAGUGCAGAAGAGGAAAGUGGAAUUCCAUGUGUAGCGGUGAAAUGCGCAGAGAUAUGGAGGAACACCAGUGGCGAAGGCGGCUUUCUGGUCUGUAACUGACGCUGAUGUGCGAAAGCGUGGGGAUCAAACAGG